rnacentral:rRNA from 1 species
CUCUCUGGGUGACGAGCGGCGGACGGGUGAGUAAUGUCUGGGAAACUGCCUGAUGGAGGGGGAUAACUACUGGAAACGGUAGCUAAUACCGCAUAACGUCGCAAGACCAAAGAGGGGGACCUUCGGGCCUCUUGCCAUCAGAUGUGCCCAGAUGGGAUUAGCUAGUAGGUGGGGUAAUGGCUCACCUAGGCGACGAUCCCUAGCUGGUCUGAGAGGAUGACCAGCCACACUGGAACUGAGACACGGUCCAGACUCCUACGGGAGGCAGCAGUGGGGAAUAUUGCACAAUGGGCGCAAGCCUGAUGCAGCCAUGCCGCGUGUGUGAAGAAGGCCUUCGGGUUGUAAAGCACUUUCAGCGAGGAGGAAGGUGGUGAACUUAAUACGUUCAUCAAUUGACGUUACUCGCAGAAGAAGCACCGGCUAACUCCGUGCCAGCAGCCGCGGUAAUACGGAGGGUGCAAGCGUUAAUCGGAAUUACUGGGCGUAAAGCGCACGCAGGCGGUUUGUUAAGUCAGAUGUGAAAUCCCCGGGCUCAACCUGGGAACUGCAUUUGAAACUGGCAAGCUAGAGUCUCGUAGAGGGGGGUAGAAUUCCAGGUGUAGCGGUGAAAUGCGUAGAGAUCUGGAGGAAUACCGGUGGCGAAGGCGGCCCCCUGGACGAAGACUGACGCUCAGGUGCGAAAGCGUGGGGAGCAAACAGGAUUAGAUACCCUGAUAGUCCACGCUGUAAACGAUGUCGAUUU